GGUCGUAUGGCCGAGCGGUCCAAGGCGCUCUCUUGCGUCUUCUGCUCGGUCGGUCAGGGGUUCGAUCCCCGCCGCGGCCA